rnacentral:rRNA from 1 species
GAUGAACGCUGGCGGCGUGCCUAAUACAUGCAAGUCGAGCGAACAGACGAGGAGCUUGCUCCUCUGACGUUAGCGGCGGACGGGUGAGUAACACGUGGAUAACCUACCUAUAAGACUGGGAUAACUUCGGGAAACCGGAGCUCAUACCGGAUAAUAUAUUGAACCGCAUGGUUCAAUAGUGAAAGACGGUUUUGCUGUCACUUAUAGAUGGAUCCGCGCCGCAUUAGCUAGUUGGUAAGGUAACGGCUUACCAAGGCAACGAUGCGUAGCCGACCUGAGAGGGUGAUCAGCCACACUGGAACUGAGACACGGUCCAGACUCCUACGGGAGGCAGCAGUAGGGAAUCUUCCGCAAUGGGCGAAAGCCUGACGGAGCAACGCCGCGUGAGUGAUGAAGGUCUUCGGAUCGUAAAACUCUGUUAUUAGGGAAGAACAAAUGUGUAAGUAACUAUGCACGUCUUGACGGUACCUAAUCAGAAAGCCACGGCUAACUACGUG